GCCGGCGACCGGCAAACGGGUGCGGAACACGUACGCAACCUUCCUCAGAGCGGGGAAUAGCCUCUCGAAAGAGAGAUUAAUACCCCAUAGUAUCCCGAAUCUGCAUGGAUUUGGGAUUAAAGCUCCGGCACUUUGAGAUGGGCGUGCGGCUGAUUAGGUAGUUGGUAGGGUAACGGCCUACCAAGCCGACGAUCAGUAGCUGAUGUGAGAGCAUGAUCAGCCACACGGGCACUGAGACACGGGCCCGACUCCUACGGGAGGCAGCAGUGAGGAAUAUUGGUCAAUGGAGGCAACUCUGAACCAGCCAUGCCGCGUGAAGGAUGAAGGUCCUCUGGAUUGUAAACUUCUUUUAUAGAAGAAGAAACCCCAGUAUUCUUAUUGGGUUGACGGUACUCUAUGAAUAAGCACCGGCUAACUCCGUGCCAGCAGCCGCGGUAAUACGGAGGGUGCAAGCGUUAUCCGGAUUCACUGGGUUUAAAGGGAGCGUAGGUGGGUCGGUAAGUCAGUGGUGAAAUCCCCGAGCUUAACUUGGGAACUGCCAUUGAUACUAUCGAUCUUGAAUUCUGUGGAGGUAAGCGGAAUAUAUCAUGUAGCGGUGAAAUGCUUAGAUAUGAUAUAGAACACCGAUAGCGAAGGCAGCUUACUACGCAGACAUUGACACUGAGGCUCGAAAGCGUGGGGAUCAAACAGGAUUAGAUACCCUGGUAGUCCACACCCUAAACUAUGGAUACUCGACAUCAGCGAUACACUGUUGGUGUCUGAGCGA
rnacentral:rRNA from 1 species